rnacentral:rRNA from 1 species
GGUGGUGCAUGGUUGUCGUCAGCUCGUGUCGUGAGAUGUUGGGUUAAGUCCCGCAACGAGCGCAACCCUUAAGCUUAGUUGCCAGCAUUCAGUUGGGCACUCUAGUGAGACUGCCGGUGACAAACCGGAGGAAGGUGGGGACGACGUCAAAUCAUCAUGCCCCUUAUGACCUGGGCUACACACGUGCUACAAUGGAUGGUACAACGAGUUGCGAGACCGCGAGGUUUAGCUAAUCUCUUAAAACCAUUCUCAGUUCGGAUUGUAGGCUGCAACUCGCCUACAUGAAGCCGGAAUCGCUAGUAAUCGCGGAUCAGCAUGCCGCGGUGAAUACGUUCCCGGGUCUUGUACACAC